rnacentral:rRNA from 1 species
GACGAACGCUGGCGGCGUGCUUAACACAUGCGAGUCGAACGGAAAGGCCCUGCUUUUGUGGGGUGCUCGAGUGGCGAACGGGUGAGUAACACGUGAGUAACCUGCCCUUGACUUUGGGAUAACUUCAGGAAACUGGGGCUAAUACCGGAUAGGAGCUCCUGCUGCAUGGGGGGGGUUGGAAAGUUUCGGCGGUUGGGGAUGGACUCGCGGCUUAUCAGCUUGUUGGUGGGGUAGUGGCUUACCAAGGCUUUGGCGGGUAGCCGGCCUGAGAGGGUGACCGGCCACAUUGGGACUGGGAUACGGCCCAGACUCCUACGGGAGGCAGCAGUGGGGAAUAUUGCACAAUGGGCGGAAGCCUGAUGCAGCAACGCCGCGUGCGGGAUGACGGCCUUCGGGUUGUAAACCGCUUUCGCCUGUGACGAAGCGUGAGUGACGGUAAUGGGUAAAGAAGCACCGGCUAACUACGUG